rnacentral:rRNA from 1 species
CCUACGGGAGGCAGCAGUAGGGAAUCUUCGGCAAUGGACGAAAGUCUGACCGAGCAACGCCGCGUGAGUGAAGAAGGUUUUCGGAUCGUAAAACUCUGUUGGUAGAGAAGAACGUUGGUGAGAGUGGAAAUCUCAUCAAGUGACGGUAACUACCCAGAAAGGGACGGCUAACUACGUGCCAGCAGACGCGGUAAUACGUAGGUCCCGAGACUAGUCGGGAUUUAUUGGGCCUAAAGCGCGCUCAGGUGGUUUAUGACGACUGGUGUAAAAGGCAGUGGCGCAACCAUUGUAUGCUUUGGCAUCUGGUUGACUUGAGUGCAGGGGAGGAGAGUGGAAUUCCAUGUGGAGCGGUGAAAUGCGUAGAUAUAUGGAGGAACACCGGUGGCGAAAGCGGCUCUCUGGCCUGUAACUGACACUGAGGCUCGAAAGCGUGGGGAGCAAACAGGAUUAGAUACCCGAGUAGUC